rnacentral:rRNA from 1 species
GACGAACGCUGGCGGCGUGCUUAACACAUGCAAGUCGAGCGGUAAGGCCCUUUCGGGGGUACACGAGCGGCGAACGGGUGAGUAACACGUGGGUGACCUGCCCUCAGCUCUGGGAUAAGCCUGGGAAACUGGGUCUAAUACCGGAUAUGACUCCAUGACGCAUGUUGUGGGGUGGAAAGCCUUGUGCGGCUGAGGAUGGGCCCGCGGCCUAUCAGCUUGUUGGUGGGGUGAUGGCCUACCAAGGCGACGACGGGUAGCCGGCCUGAGAGGGCGACCGGCCACACUGGGACUGAGACACGGCCCAGACUCCUACGGGAGGCAGCAGUGGGGAAUCUUGCGCAAUGGGCGAAAGCCUGACGCAGCGACGCCGCGUGAGGGAUGACGGCCUGGUU